rnacentral:tRNA from 2 species
GCGGCCGUAGUCUAGCCUGGUCUAGGACAUAGCUUCGAACAACGGCUCGGGACUUCAAAUCCCGGCGGCCGCACCA